AUGAUACUCCCUUCGUCCCAAAAUUCUUGUUUUAAAUUUGUCUAAAUACGGAUGUAUCAAAUCAUGUUUUAGUAUUAGAUAUAUCCGCAUCUAGACGAAUCUAAGAUAAAAAUUUUAGGACGGAGAGGUAUAAU
rfam:Triticum urartu cultivar G1812 contig130218, whole genome shotgun sequence.